rnacentral:rRNA from 1 species
UACGUAGGCAGCGAGCGUUGUUCGGAGUUACUGGGCGUAAAGCGUGCGUAGGCGGUGUUCCAAGUCUGUUGUGAAAUCUCCCGGCUUAACUGGGAGGGUGCGGCGGAAACUGGGACGCUGGAGUGCGGGAGAGGUAAGCGGAAUUCCUGGUGUAGCGGUGAAAUGCGUAGAUAUCAGGAGGAACACCUGCGGUGUAGACGGCUUACUGGACCGUAACUGACGCUGAGGCGCGAAAGCGUGGGGAGCAAACAGG